GAUGAACGCUAGCUACAGGCUUAACACAUGCAAGUCGAGGGGAAACGAUAUUGGAAGCUUGCUUCCGAUAGGCGUCGACCGGCGCACGGGUGAGUAACGCGUAUCCAACCUGCCCACCACUUGGGGAUAACCUUGCGAAAGUAAGACUAAUACCCAAUGAUAUCUCUAGAAGACAUCUGAAGGAGAUUAAAGAUUUAUCGGUGCUGGAUGGGGAUGCGUCUGAUUAGCUUGUUGGCGGGGUAACGGCCCACCAAGGCGACGAUCAGUAGGGGUUCUGAGAGGAAGGUCCCCCACAUUGGAACUGAGAUACGGUCCAAACUCCUACGGGAGGCAGCAGUGAGGAAUAUUGGUCAAUGGGCGAGAGCCUGAACCAGCCAAGUAGCGUGCAGGAUGACGGCCCUAUGGGUUGUAAACUGCUUUUAUAAGGGAAUAAAGUAAGCCUCGUGAGGCUUUUUGCAUGUACCUUAUGAAUAAGGACCGGCUAAUUCCGUGCCAGCAGCCGCGGUAA
rnacentral:rRNA from 1 species